GUUCGGUUAGGUGGCCUUCAAUUAGUUAUAGUCAGGUAGUUAUUGUCCAAGUUUCAGGCCUAUGCACGUACAAGUCCAGAUGGUACAUGGUAGGCUACAAAAGAGGCAACCAGAGACUUGCAUUGUGUGAUGAGCCCACAAGAUGUCCAAAAGCUUACUAUGUGUGCAACACUGCAGCUAGAUAAGUUGAGGGGAUUUAAGUUUAUGAGAUGAUCAAAAUAGUGCAAUUGGCCAUUUGGCUCUCCAUUUUCAGCAUGUUGCUACCUAGGUAUGGGAGGUGUCAGCAGUUUAUGGAGCUCGUCAAUUGACAGACUAGGUGUUGGGAGUUCAUCCACCACGUCCAUCACAGUCUCAACCAGCAGUUGUAUAAUACCUUGUUGAGCGUAUAUAGAUCAUAGGAUUGGGAUGCUACCACUUUUUCCAACAUCAAGCUAGCUUAAGCAGUAUACACAUAUAAAUCUAUAGCCAAUAGGCAUUUACUCAGCCAAAUUUGUCAAGAUGCAGGAGGGCCCCCAGUUGUGUUUUCCUUUUUUAUCAUGUAAUAAAACUACUAGAGCAGAGCUUUUGCCGUCAUUAUAAGAAAAGCAUAGAUUGUUAGGUUUGGGAGGUCUUUAUUAUUUCUUUAUUUUUAUCCAACGCCAAGCUUAGGUCUUUUACAAUAUUUUAUAAUUUUAUAAUAACUUUAGGUAAAAGGCUCCCUUCUGUUCUGGUACCUAUUCUCAUCGAUUAGUCACCAAAACCUGUAUGUUUCUUCCACACAGUUCUGGUACCUAUAAUUUUAUAAUGACGUUUAGGUAAAAGGCAAUUGCCAGACCACCAAUUCAGCUAUUAUCUCGCGUUUUACAGUCGUGGCCACGACCAAUGUGAUCAAAUAGUACUGAUAUGUUGUUCAAAGACCAGCACAGUUGUGCAAUUACAAUGCCGAGCUGUGUUCUUCCUUCCACACAGGCAGAAUCAAAGUUUAGUAGGCUUCCUUUGACAGGCCACGGGCAGAGAAGUAGGGCAUAAAAAACCAGAGAGCUGACUGACCAAGAUGCUAGUGCUGGUUUACCUAGUAGCAUACAAGAUUUUCUGGCAUGGACGUCCCUGUGAUGAACAAUGAAAAAGCUAUGGAUUUUUCCAGUAGGAGUAGAUUAAAGGAUUAUUAGGUGGCAGCAGGAUCGAUUUUGUAAUAGUUUUGACGCACCAACUAACUAGAUGGAAUGUUCCUUCUGUGGACUGAUAGAGGCAUACGCUCUUUUGAUUCUUUGACAUGAGCAGAAGAAGCCAUGAUUCAUCUCCUAAGUGGCUGCUCGUUCAUCUCACUUCCUUUUGCUCCAACUAGCAGCUUGCGAUGACAUUUUUUUGUCCUUAUGAUAAGGAGUGUAGAUUGCGAUGACAUUUUUUUGUCCUUAUCAUUUAGGUGUCUUGUCUUGCUUUCUCUGGAUGAUGUUUGCAGCGAAACAGAGUGAGAUGUAGUUAACAAUGGUGAACAUGUUAUGGCUGUGAUGUGUCUAACUACAUACUAAUCCCGAGGAUAAAAAUGCUUACUUUGGCAUAAGACAAAUAAAACAUAACCUGUACUUGUGAAAGUAUAAAUGUAUUUCGCAAGCAAAGCAUCAUAACACUAUUCACAACAUUGACUAUACUACUGGCGCAGUUGUGGCACUACAAAUAGAUGACAGAUGGAACGCUGCAAAUCUAUCUAUUGUGGCAACCACAUAGGUCAAGAUGGCAACGGGGACAUCCCCGACGGGGAUUGGCACCCCGUCCACGUCCCCGUUGGCCAUGAUUUCCCCCGUUCCCCGCCCCCGAUAUGUGACUCGGGGCUGGCUUGCUCCCGUCCCCGUCCCCGAUAGGAUUCACGGGCCCCCGACGGGUAGCGCACCCCAGAUUUAUAUGUCUUGCAUCUAGAACAAAGUAGAAGCACACAACUACAACAGCUAGCAGAAUCAGGUCCAAAUAACCCAAACUGAAGACAAAAUCAAACGCUGGAUCCUUCAAAGGGGGAAAAAGAAAGCUCAGUAAAUCAGUUACAUUCCAGAAGAGCAAGAUUUCCAAAUACUACAUCCUGUUCUAGAGGGUGAAGCCUAAAGUAGAGAGCAGUUUUACGAGGUUCUGCUUGAAGGCCGUGGGGCCAAGUCCUAGCAAGUAGCAACCAGGAUGUGCUUGGUCACAUGGCUGUGGAAGCUCUUCAUGGUUUAGUUGGAUCCCACAUGCACUUGCUUCGGAGUCUUUUGCGGCUGGUGGCUGGCGGCUGAUAGGAGAACGAGUGUAGUGAGCUAGGGUUGGAGGCCUACCUGCUUCUUUAUUUUAUAUAUGGCUGUUGUGGGCUUGGGCUUAUAAACUUGAGUUGGGCUGAAAGCAGAUGACCUUCUGGCUUAUACAACUAUGCACCAUCGGGGCCCAACGGGGAACGGGGACAGGGAGACAGUGACCGUUCCCAGCCCCGCUCUACCCGACGGGGCACAUUUUCUGCCCGUUAAUUCCCCGUUGAGGAGCAAAAUCAUCCCAUCUUCAUCCCCUAAUAGAUAAAAUCCCCAUCGGAGAUCGGAGAUCGGGGUCCGUUGCCAUCUUGACACAUAGGUAGAAAAAGAAAGAGGGGGUACUAGUAAUAAUCAUGAUUUGCUUGCUGCCUACGAAGGAUUUGGAUGUGUUGAGGUGCUUUCAGCUAAAGUUGUCAUGUGCAGCCGAUAAGACAGGAGCAGGAUGAUGAGCUUGAUGGUACUUCAUAGCUGACUACUCCCUAUUUUCUACCUUAGUUGAAGGAGAAAAUAAAGCUGAGGCACCCUAUUUUCUGACACCACCCAUGCCUAGCCUAGGUAUAUGAAGCUGCAAACAUGAACGAACGGAGCUAUUGGAUGCUUUUUUCGCUCUUGGAAAAAUGAAUCUUCCUUCUUCGAGCUGGCUGCACACGUCUUUUGUUGCCCAUUUCUUUAGCUGCCUCUUAUAGGUGGGUAGCCUGGCAUGUUGUUUAGUAUUUGUAGUCUACUUGAUAGGGUUAUAGGACCACGACACUUCCACUUCUUCAAGGAUCAUAUGCCAUUACUAUAUAGUGUUUGACAUCACCGGGCUACCAAGGGGAUAUUUAGUUGGAGAUGUUAAAUUUUAAUAGAUAUUGUAGCAUUUUAUUUUAUUUGGCAAUUAGCGUUCAAUCAUGGACUAAUAUAAUUAGGCUCAAAGAUUCGUCUCGCAAAUUAGUUUUGUAACUAGUCUAUAUUUAAUACUUCAUUCAUGUGUCUAAACAUUCGAUGUGAUAGGCGGUAAAGUUUACUGGCAUGAACCAAAUAGGGCAGACCAAUCACUAUACAUAAAUUUUCUGAUGGCAGAUUCAUUAUGAUGCUGAAAUAUAUCAAGAUGGUGUUGCUACCUCGUCCAUACCAAGUUUUCAUUCGGCUUUUGGCACAUGGUUGUUAAGGACAACAUUGUUGUCAAGAUGGUGGCGCUAUAACCUCGUCCCUUUUAUCAAUAUAAUGUUCUUUUUGGCAACGGUUGGCUACAACACCCGCUAUUGUGCGGGUAUAUGUGCAGCAAAUACUACCAUCACUAAAUGAGCUGUUUCUACUCACACCAAAAAAUUCGAUAGCAGCAUGUUUGGUUUGGCGAUUGAUUCCAUUUGGCAUCAAAUGGACCUGCACAAAAAUAUGGUUUGUCUGGCACUUAAUUUUCGUGGAUCGAAUUGGUCCUCAAAACUUGCUUAUGAUUUACUCUCUCCUGGCCUGAAGUUCCAAAGGACAGAUGACACGGUCCUUCCAUGCCGCAAACCAAACAGUGCUGUCAGCUUGGGUACCAAGGUCGGACCAUUCUGAAUCACCUCACGCUUUGUGCUCCUUCGAGAAAACAAGAACAAAAUACUGCUUCCUUCUUUUUGAAAAGAUGUUAUAUGAAUGAUAGCAGCAUUGUUUAAGGAAUAUCUACCUAGUAAUGAAGAAUUUUGCUUUGAGCCCAAACUAAAAUGUAUAUAUAAUGGUACAAAUCCGAGUGUUUAGACAGAAAACUCACUCAAGGGAGAAAGUCUGCCUGCAUAAAAAUAAUAAUAAUAUAGUGUACUGAAGUACGCAAAAAGAACACAGAUAAGGGAACACAGACUUUAUUAAUAUUUAGCAAAAUACAAAUACCUGUUUCCGAUGUACAUGUGCACUCUACAAAGUAGCCCUACUGAUGGAUCUUGAUCUAACUUGGGUGAUGUGGACUUCUUGUUCGUAGGGUCUCGGAAGACACCUAGUUAAUUAGGUCCGUGACAUCUCCUAUACUCUAGAAAGUACAAUUCUAUAGGCAAGCAAACCACUGUAACACUAUUCACGACAUUGACUAGCUAGUAGUGCAACAAUUAUUGUGUGAUACUGGCAACGGAUGACAGAUUCAAUGAUGUUGAAAGUGGGUUUACUCCUGUCUAUGCAUUCUGGCACACACAGCCUUAGUAAUAAUCUCAAUUUGCUUGUUGCCUAAGAACAGACAGAUUUGUUGAGGUGCCUUCAGCUCAUGCUGUCAUGCACAGUCGUUAAGACAAUCGGGUGAUGAUCUUGAUGGCAGUUCAUAGUUGACCAUUUCCCCCAUCUUUAAGCUUUUCCUAAGAAAAUAAUGCUGAGGCACCUUAAUUUCCGAUACCUUCCUUGCUUAGCCUAGGUGUGAGGCUGCAAACUUGCAUGUAGUUAUAGGAUGCGCAGAUGGCUCGCCCAUUUCUUCAGCUGUCUUUUAUAGAUAGCGUAGCAUGUUGUAUAGUUUUAGUUGUAGUCUACUUGGGAGGGUCACAAGACCACAGGCUUCAAGGUGGAUCACAUGCAAUGGCUAAAUAAUAUCUGACAUCACCUGGCUACUAAGUAGCGGAGACAAUAAUCACUACACGUAAAUAUAUCAAGACGAUGUGGCGUUGUUACCUCAACCUUCCUUUAUUUUUCUUUCUAAUGUUGGAACAUGGCUUGGUGGAACGGGGGAAACAUGGGUGUCAAUACACGCUGCUGCUGUAACCUCAAUACCAAUGCAGCCGUGCAGUACUGGCUCCUCACGCGCCACUAGAGGAGGACCGCCUCCUCGUGUGCCCUCCUCGCCUUGGACCGUGCCACCGCCGAGAGCGGCCUCCUCGCAAGAUCUAGGGCAGAAGGGAGCGUGGCUGGCUGUUGGCGGGAGAUCUGGGGGUCCGAGCAUGGCAGUUGGAGGGGCCGAGCUCCAAGCAAACACUGGAUGAACUAGGGGCUUCAUGUGGUCCACCCGGGGCUGUGCCGGGAGCCGGGACACGCUGCCGCUGUGUGAAGGGGAAGAGAGAGACGAAGGAUGGAGUUGUUUGCAAGACAUGGUUAAGAGGGACGGAACGCGGGAGCUAGUUGAGACAUAAGUAGAGAGAUGGGCAUCAAACCCUAGCUUCACGUAUAUAUAUACAUGAACAUAACAUAUAGGUGUCGGGCCUUCUAGGCCUAUUGAGCGUUGGGCCUUUUUACGGAGGCGGAGUCAGAGACAGACUCUAAACCGCAUCUAUUUAGGAGAGCUAAUUUUUUACCGUAUUUGUAGUUCCAUUUUAUUAGAGGCCGGCAAUUUUGACUAGCUCGGUAAAUAAAAUAUCUGUAUCCAAAAAUGUGGUUGUCUAUUUUUAAAGGCGGUUGAAUUUUAUGACCAUCUCGGUUAAUAGUUAGGCGGUGUCUCGCAGAAUCAUUUAUCUAGUAGUUUUUGCCAAAUAAAACUAGUUAAAGUGACCCCUUAGAUAUAUUGGUCGAAAUUUUCCACGAUAUGUAAAAUAAGCUAUAGUGACACGCUAAUAUUAUGUUGCAUAAUGGCAUAGGAUGGUAAUUUAUAUACAUGUUUAGGAUAUUACUUUAUACUUUUAUUAAUAGAGGCAGACAUGGAUAGUCUUUUCAGGAAGCAAAACAUAUAAUACAGAUAUUAAAUAUUGUGAUUAUAAUCUACCGAAUUGAUGAUGGCCUGAUCUUUGUAAUAUUUCAGAGCAUAAAUCCUUGUCAAUUAUCUUCUACUACGAUUAUAUUAAUUAUCUACCGAAUUGAUGGUAAGAUCUCUUUCCGAUUCAUGCAAGAAUAGGCCAUAAGACCAUUGUUAUUAAUUCUUAUUAGAGUAUACAUAAUUGAUGGUCUUGUCUUUAUUAAGAGUUUUCUUAGAAUUUCUAGUAUUUUUGUGGAUCCGUUAGGUGGCCUUUAGUUAGUAAUAGUCAGACUAUAAGCAAUAAUUGGCCAAGUACUAGACGGUCGCCUACCUGUUGAAGGCCAUAGGGUGCAUGUAGGCUAUAAAAGAGACAACAAGCAUAGACUUGCAUUGUGUGAUGAGAGCCCAUGCAUGGCACGUCCAAAAGCAGGCCAUGUGUGCAACUUGAUAUUUAGUUUCCGAGAUCAAAAGAAUUGAAUUGGCUAUUUGGUUCUCCAUUUUCAUCACACGAUCUUAGACAUGGGAGGUGUUGGGAGUUUAUCCACCCCGUCCGUCGAGUCUAUACGUGCGAAUAAACCAGCAUUAUCCUUGAGCAUCACAACAGCUAUGCAGAACAUAAAGCCACCGUAGCAGCAUAUGGUUGUUGCUGGACCAUCGGCUGUGGCGACAGCCCUGCACAUCUUUGCGAUGAAGACAACACUUGCGGUUAAAUUGUGUGUACAUGUGCAUGAUUGGAGCUGAACGAUACCGUAUAACACUACUAGAAACUAAAAAUACUUUGUCAAUAGAGUCCAAACCGACAAAAAAAUUGACAUACCGACAGUUAAUUGCUAUAAUUAUGUUUUGACAAUGCUAACCAACAAGAGACAUUAUUCCCUGCCGGUGCAUAGUUUUUCCCUAUCGUCAUCUUUCGACAAAGAUAAAACUUUAGGCCUGGCAACUAAUUAUUUUCAUGUCGACACCCUGCCAACAAGAAAAAUUACAUACCGAUAGGAAAAAAUAAAACUGACUGGAAAAUGUUAAUUUUCUAUCGGUGACAGGAAAAUUAUUUUUCUAUUUUUCUUGUUAGUUUUUUGAAUUUUUCUGUCGGUUUCGUACUGACGGGAAAGUUUUCGUCUCUAGUAGUGCGUACGUGACUUGUGGGAGUCCGGAGUCCAUGGCUCAGUGGGAGACCUACAUGGAGUGUUUUUUUAGAAAAUGAAGUAGUCGUGGUCUCUAUAUCUCACACAACAAUGUCUUACAAUAUUUUAGCUCAACUGCUAAUUAUAAACAAUAGGAAGGUCAGAAAUAAGAAGAAAAAUCUGUAAGCCAGCUUUGUAUAGCUUCUCCAUCCAUUAUUGAUAUAUGCAAGCAAUAUGAUCUCUAAUGUUUUGCUCACCAAAGGAGUUUCCUGUGUAUCCUCAUGAUACAAUACAACCACUACCACAAAACAUAAUAUCUUUGAGGGUCAAAAACUCUCAAGGAAACCAUGAAAACUGCUAAGAAAAUAAUUCUUUGCAGCCAACACUAAAGGAAGGAUCCGCUAGGUGGUCUCGACUACAUUUCAUUAGCUGUUCUAGUGGUUCUAAGUUGUUAGUUCUACUUAUUAGGGAUGAAAACAGGACAGGAAAUUGGCAUCGUGACUGACACCAUUUUUCGAUUUUCCUAACCAUAUCGUGUUUUAGCCAAAAAAAUCCGAGAUCGAUCAAGAAACAGUUGAGAAGACGCAUGAACAUGAAGAAAUUAAAAAUAGUUGAAUGCUCUCCGAUCUAAACUGGUUGGACCAGGUGGAAUAAAAGGAUGCUUUGCUGCUACUAUCAUGCCUUAUAGGGCCACAUCUGCUUUGUUGCUUGGGCCCUUGGCUGCUAGACUGCUACCAUUGUCUUGCUGGUGAGCUCUGCUGGUCUGUUCGGUCAGCCUCCUGCAUGGCUGCAUGCUAACAGAGUGACAGCCUUUGCCAUUGCUGCAUGUCUGUGCAUGCAAGCGUCACUCUGAGUUAAUCAGCUGAACGAGGCAGCCGCUUAGGACUUAGGAUAUCCGUCAUUGUUUCUUUUGUUCGUGUCGAACAAUCGAUAGAGACAGUUCUAACCCCUAGUCUAUCCACAACCGUAGACGGAACUACUGAUGUCGUUAGUUGGAGCGUCCAAGCUAUUCCAAAUUCAAUCCUGCUGCCUCCUAAUCCUACGAUCUACUCCUAUAAAAAAUCCCUAGUUUUUUCAUUCUUCUCUCCAUGUAGUGUGGAAAAGCUUAUAUGCUACUAGUAGCUAGACCAGCAGUAGAGCCUCGGGGUCACUCUGCUAUCUGGUUCUUGGUAGAUGACUGACUUCAAUAUAAUGCAUAUGUACUCACUACAGGAGACAGCUGCUUUGCCGAGUGCCUGCGGCACUCGGCAAAAGCACUAUUGCUCUCGGCAAAGGCUUUGCCGAGUGCCGCACUCGGCAAAGGCCCCUCGGCAAAUUUUAAGUCGGCAAAGGGUUCUUUGCCGAGUGCCUUUUAUCGGGUACUCGGCAAAGGCUUUGCCGAGUGUCUUCCAGGAGGCACUCGGCAAAGAAAAGUUACCGUUAUGACGGGUUAUAAACUAACGGUUGUUUUGCCGAGUGUCUCAAGAAAGGCACUCGGCAAAGAAUUUUUUUUUAAAAAAAAUCCCGAAUUUCUUUGCCGAGUGCCCUGCCAGGAGGCACUCGGCAAAGAAAUUUGAGAUUUUUUAAAAAAAAUUCUUUGCCGAGUGUCUCCAGGCAGGACACUCGGCAAAGAAAUUAAUUUUUUUUAUUUAAAAAAUUCUUUGCCGAGUGCCCUGCCAGGAGGCACUCGGCAAAGAAAUUCGGGAUUUUUUUAAAAAAAAUCUUUGCCGAGUGUCUCCAGGCAGGACACUCGGCAAAGAAAUUAAUUUUUUUAUUUAAAAAAUUCUUUGCCGAGCGUUCUGCUGGGGGACACUCGGCAAAGCUGGGAAUCCUAUUGGGUCAAAUGGUCACUUUGCCGAGUGUAAUUUCCCCGGCGCUCGGCAAAGUGACCAGAACCGACCUAUUUAUUUAAUUUUCACAUUUUCUCGUGAUAAACAAAAUAUAUCACAUAUAUUUCACAUUCUUCAAAGAUAUCUCAUAUUUGUCCCAUAAAUCUCACAUCCAUCACAUAAAUAUCAUGCACAUCACAUAAAUGUCACAUUUAAACAAAUCCAUAAGUAUAAAUCCACAAGUUCAUUACAAGUCCAUCUAAAUAAAUCCACAAGUCCAUCACAAGUCCAAAUAAGUAACACAAGUGCAUCGUAAGAGAACUGCAACUGCGACUGUGUUGUACCAUGACACUGCGACUGUGGUGUACCAACCGAACAAACACAUGCAAAGAGAACUACCCGGCUCCCCAAGGUCCCCACUGCGACUGUGGUGUACCAUGACCUGGAACAUUCGAACCGGCGGAUGGAGGCUGCACAAAAGAGAUAUAGU
rnacentral:lncRNA from 1 species